GGCAAAGGCGGAGCCGGAGAAAAGUUGUCAGUGGCGCUGCGUGAGCGGCAGGGCAGCGCUGACUAGGGCGCGGACGCGGAGACGCAGCGGCCUGUUCGCGGCCGGGGCCGGGCAUGGGGCGGCCGGCGGGAGCUGCGGUCGGGCGGGGCAGCCCGGGACGGCGGCGGGCGGCGUGACGGCGGCAGGAUGCGCUCCGAGGGCGCGGCCCCCGGGCCGGUGGCGCCGCUGUGCGGGGUGCUGAGCCUGGUGCUGGGCGCGCUGCUGGGCAGAGGUUUUCCAGGCUCCUCUUCUGUGCAUAUAAAGUGACCAUUGGAAAUCCCUUCCCAGUAUACCUCCCUCUGAUGCCAAACCUAGUGACUAGAAAACUGCUUUGGGGACAGCUCUUGCUGGGGUCCUAGCGUCCUCAGGGGAUGUAACAAUCAGACCCUCAAGUGGAAUCACCUGCCUGGUUUCCUCUUCUAAGGGACAUUUGUGCUUCUUGGAAGCCUCUCAGCUCUUUUAGGAUGGUAAUUCCCUCCAGUGCAUUUUCUGAUGCUGGACGGCUUCUGGAUUUCUGGAAUAGGUCUCAGCUGGCCAAGUCUGACUCCCCGCAGCCUGGUCUUCCACUCAGGACCUCCAACAGCAUCCUCUGAGCCAGAGCCACUACAGUGAGAGCUGCCCACCGGAUGUCUUCAGUACUAGUGACUGAACCUGGGGCCUUCAAAUUCAGCUACAUGCCCAGCCCUUUUUUAUUUUAGUUUUUUGAGACAGAGUCUCUCUAAGUUGCUAAGCUUCCCAGGCUGGGUUCAAACUUGCCAUUCUCCUGCCUCAGCCUCCCAGAGUGCCGUGCGCACCACUGUGCUGGGUGUGAGCUAUGUUUCUAGUCCUUCCUGUGGGUGCUUAGAUGCUGCUGGCAGACUCCCACCUACUGGGCAGUUCUGGGUUUGCAUCUCUGCCUUCCAGAUUGAGUCCCUUUAAUUGUGACACAGGAGUUGCCACUGGCUGAGAUCCAGGAAGAUGAGGGAGGACAGGAACUGGAGGUGUCUCCUGCCCUGGGGAAGGUGGUGACAGGAGGAGACCACGGGGCUGGGAGCAGGGACAGGGCUGAGAGAGACUUCAAAUGCCAGUGCCGCCAAGGAGCAGGUAAAGAAACCAAGAUGGCGGCACUGCAAGGGCACAGGAGGGAUUUAGCCAGAAACAAAGAUGGUGGCCCAGUGACAGCACAGAAGAGACUCAGCCAGAAACCAAGACGGCAGCACCACAGGAGUGCAGGAGAGACUCAGCUGGGGAGGGGAGUUUGAAUUCACUACCUGGAGUCAUCCUGGGUUCUAAGAAAGGAUGGGUAUCUCUGAACUGGAAAACGAUUGUUUAUAUUCACUUAUGGGUGUGGGAUUUGGCCCUGUGUGUGUUCACCAGGCAGGCUCAGCAGAGGAAGCUUUGCGUGUGGAUUUUCCUGAUGAACUUCUGCAGGCAGCAGCAGAGAAGGAUGGCUCCUGACAGGACUGAAAGCAGCUCACCUGAUCCCACAGCCUCGAAUUAAGUUCUCCACACCCACGGUCGCCGACCCAGCUGCGAGGCUUUCUUCACUAAAAGGGUGCAUCGCCCGGGUCCAGGCCCGAGCUCUGGACUGUGAGCAGAUGUGUCCGUGGUGUUGGCUAUCCUGCAGGCCUCUAUCCCGAGCACACCAAUGUCUGCAGAGACACAGGCAGGCAGGCAGGCAGGAAAUAGCCUUGAGAGUGGCGCAAGACGACAUGGCUGCUGCGCUGAGAUCAAUUUCACACUUCAGUGACAUACACCGUGCUCUGUAUUUUAUAGGUUUAGGGAUUUGGGGAAGCAGACACUCAGUUCAAAACAUGUCCGUGCAGUUAUCACGGGUUUCACAGCUUCAUGACCAGGACCCAAUGUUCUUUGGAUCCCUAAUACUACCUUAUAUUUAGGUCCAGUGACAGAGUAUUCAGCUGUAAGACUUUAAACAAGCGGAGCUACUAUUGCCUACAACAAGCAACAUACAGCUUGUGGGUUGGCUCAGGAGUCCUUCCAGGUAUCAGAGACCCAUGUGGUUUCUGUCUUAUUGCUGCAUCCUCCUUCUCAUGCUGAUUGGUUCUUGUCCUUGUCCCCUCGUUAUCAUAAAAUGACUGCCAGAGCUCUUAGCAUUGCAUCCUCACCCAUUCACAUCCAAAGGCACACUUGGGAGUGUUAUGGGUCUUAGUCAGGCAUGAGUUUGUUUCCCUGUAUAACAUGACAUCAAUAAGUUAUCACUUCAAGAUGGUGCACCCCUGCAGUAGAUUUACCUAUCUGUUGUGUCAUCAUUAGCCCAUGACAAUAGUCUAGCUCUAUUUUAUCAGAAAGAAGGGAUGAGGAAGGGGCCAAAAAUAAAAAAAACAAAUGUCAAAUGAUUCCUGCAUUUCUGUGAUCUCACUUAGGACACACCCAGAGACCUCAGUCUGCUUGUCAAUGCCUGGGACUGCAGAAUGUGCCCAGCCAUAGCUGCUGGGGGACUGUGGUGCAUCUACAUACUUCCUCCAAACUUUCACCUUAUGAAAAACUAAGGUUUUGCUGUUCUGGAAGAAUAAACAAUAGUUAUUGGCACAACAAUCAGUUAUGUCUGCCAGGAUCCCCACUACACAGACAAGGAUACCGAGAUGUAGUGACAACUUAGCUAUUUCCUAAGUUACAUAGAAAGACUGGAUCCUGAGGUUUUGUAGUCCUUGAAGAUGAACUUCUCCCAGUUAAUAGGCAGGAUGUCAGGGCUGGUGACACUCCAGACACAAAAGGAAUUUAGAAGAACUUUGGAUGUCAGUAACCUUUCUGUUGCUAUGACAAAAUACGCUGGACAAUCAAUUUAGAAGGAGGAAAAAUUUGUCUGGGUUCAUGAUUUCAGAGGUUUCAGUCCCUGGUAACUUGACUCUUUUGUCUUUGGGCCACCUCAUGGUGGGAGACACAUGGAGAGGAAAAAUGCUCACCUCUUGGUAACCAGAAAGGAGAGAAGAGAGCAAGGGAUAUUUGUCCUACUGUCCCCCUUCAGGCCACACCCUCAAUGACCUACUUUGUCUCAGAGCUCCACCAACCCCGGUGGUUCAGAAUCUCCAACCUGAAAGUCAUUACAGUUGAGAACCAGCAAGAUGACCACUCGUGAAGAAAAUAUUUGGUGAGCCAAGGAAAACUGUCCAGGCUCAUCUCCCAUGUGCGUCAGGAGCACCACUGUGAAAGCAGGGGACAUUUAGUUCCAGAAGGGGGAAACCUCAGGACUUCUACAGAGCAUGCACAGAAACAGUCUUAAGGAGAAAGCUUCCAGGAAGUCAGUCAGCUUAAAGCUUCUUACAUUGCAUCCCGAACGCCUUGCACUGUUUUUAGGUAUCUGCGAGAUGAGAUCACACACGGUGAAUGCCCCUACUAGGUGCCACCUGGAAGAGAGGUGGACACCGAGAAACACGAUGUGGGUCAUCAUCCACCUUAUUCUCCGGGUCCGGCUCUUCCCCAAAGAAAGGAUAACUGCAGAAGUGAGCUGUGGAGGCAGCGGUGCCCACAAGGCAGCGGAAGACCUGAGCGAGAGCUUCCACACCCACCUCGGAGUGGCAGGAAUGGGGCUCCCCACCUCCUCUCUGACCCCUCCAAGCCGUCUGCCAAUGGCUCCUGGCAACCUGAUCGCUGCUGCUUGGUGUCUGAAGAGUUAAAACUGCCCCUUGGUGAGUGGGGCAGAAGCGUGUUCCGUUGAUCUUGAACUCCAGGUAAACAUCUGAGCCCUUGUUUCUUCCCAAAUGAAACUGUACUCUGAGUGGUUUGGGGCCGAGCCCACCUGCCUACCCCUAACAUUAUAAAGCCAAGGCCCUUAUUUUUCCAGAUCAGACUUCAGAUAAUGGUUUGCACCAUGAUUUCUCUUUUAUUUUUUUUCUUUUUUCUUUCUGUUUUUUGUUUGUUUGUUUGUUUGUUUUUGUUUUUGUUUUUUUGGGGGGGGGUUUGGUUUUUUGUUGUUGUUGUUUUUUUUUUUUUUUUUUUUUUUGCUACCACACUGCUCUGGAAGAGAAAGGCUUCUCAUCAGAUAUUAUUAAAAGGCUUUUAAUCCAUGAACACUUAACCAACUAAAUGGGCUGAAAGCAUCACUGGUGCUUCAUGGAGGGACGCGAGGUGUCUUUAUCUAACACCCACCAUUUGCCAUAAUAAAGAUUUCAGAUCAAAGCUGAUGAAUGAAAACUUUUUAGAAACCCAUUUCUGCCAAUGGCUCUGGACAUUUGUGACCAUUUUGACUGCCUUCUCCUCCUGUGAGAGCCAAGGGAGGACGGCUCUGUCACCUCCAUGGUCUCUGCCACUUCUGAAGUUAAUUCUUUUUGCCUCCAUAGACAAGGCUGCUUUUAGCUGUUCCCACGGGAGUGGUUUCAAGGUUUGCGGGUUCAGAAAGCUCCAUUGCACAUUCAGAGGGAACUGUGAUUUCACAUAACAUGAUUUCUUAUCCAUGCAUCUCCAAAAAAUAAUACCAAAUAAUUUUGUUUCCACUUUUCUUUUGCAGGAGUUAUCUGAUCUGAUUUUGGCUUCAGGCUUUACAGAUAUUGACUCACACUUGAGUUCUCCAAACUCGUGAGAGGAGCAGUAAUCACAGUGUAUGUCUGAUGAGUGUGUUCAGAUCUAAUUUACACACCAGGAGGGAAACAGCUGGUGUCCGAUAAAUCACCAGCUAGACACAGCGGCGAGAGCUGCCCUCACGGCGUCUCCUCCCAGGCAUGGGUAAGGAUGCGCUGGAGAACACUGGCUGCUGGGUCAUGAAGCUUGGCCACUGUGUUCUCCAAGUCUGGUUCACUGGCGCCCUCAGCUUCCAUAGACUGAGUCUCCAUCACUGGUGCAAGCCUGCAGCUGAGCUCUGCAUGGACGCGGUAUUGCCAGUGCUGCCCUGUGUUGUUCAGCGAAUGUCAGCUUGAACAACAGGCAGCCCUAAGCCUUGGUGGCUGGAGCCAAAAGAAAAAGUGGACUGGACUCAUUUCUCAUGUAAGUCCAGCCCAUCAGGUGCUAGGGAUCAGGCGGGCAGAAGGCGGCUGCUCAGAGACCCAGACCCCUCCCCUCUUGUGGCUCUGCUAUCAUCUGAGGUCUUAGAACAUGGGCCGGGCUCUGGCAGAGAGCUCCAGUCCGGUGCAGGGGGUGGUUCUGCUGGGCACCCGAUCCUGUGGCAGAAGCUGCCAGUGCCCACCACUGUGUGUCUCCUCCCUCCUCCUCCCUGCUGCUUUCCUCUUGUGACACAUCGGCACCGCAGCUGUGCCUGAACCAGAGCAGAAGUGGCAUGUGCUGCCUCCCGGGUGACACAUCCUCUUCCAUUUCCUCCUGUUGCUCCUCAGCAGGUCUGUGCAGAGAAGGACGAGGCUUCUGAGGUGGCAGAACCACCAGGGGGUGGGGUGCACAGGCCUUGACCCCGUGUCUCAGCAGGUGGCUCGUGUCCUGGAUUUCUCAGGUCACGGAUGGAGAGGAGUCUUGCCCUGGGCGAACUGUGCCCACAUCUCCUUCAAAGGUGGCUUGGACAAGGCAGCAGGACUGGAAGAAGGGAAAGAGCCUGUUGGGGUCCUCUGGAUGUCCCCCCAUCCUGCACCCUUAUGUGUGGAGUUUUGAAGGUGGCUGAUGGACUAAUGUGUGUGAAUGUGGGAUGAAGAGCCUGGUGCUGGGACUGAGAGAGCCACGUCCUGGCUGUGGGUGGCACCGAGCAACAGGACUGCAGCCUGGAUGUGACACAAAAGGACAGGAAGAAUACAGGCUGCUGCUGCUGCUCCUCUGUCUCCUGCUUGCUGGCCUCACCACCCUGCCUUGAAACCAGCAGACUGUGGACUGAAACCUCCACAAACUGAUUUAAGACCCAUGUAUGGGGGACCCUAGAGGAUGUCACAUAUCACAGGAAACCCACUGCACUGCGGGCCCUAGAGAAGAAGCUGAAAAUGCACGUGCAGCCGUCUCAGUGCCCAAGCGGCCACACCGCCCCCAUCUGCAAACCUUUGUGAGUGAGGCUUGGUGGAAACUGAGAACGGGCUUUUGAGGAUGAUGUUUGCUUUGCUUGUUUUUAACUUUAAUAGGAAGCGGAAUAUCACUAGCAUUUGGGAAAUGCUUCUUUCAGCUCAUUGUCUUGUCUGUGUUUCUGAAUAUGAGUCUUUUCAAAAGCAAAGAAUGCUUAAACCUUUCAGAUCAAAAACACUUUUGUCUUCUGUGCCACGAAGUCUGCCCUACUGUUUCCCAUGUGCCAGAUGGGAGCGGUGUCCGGGUUCUGAGACUGAUCGACAUUUCUGUGGCCUGGGUUUCCUCACGGACAUGGAAGACCUCAAGUUUUGGGCUGAGCCACUGUCGUUGUGAUUCUCUCCCUCGCCUGCUGCCACACUAGAAGCAACUACACCUCCCCAAGGAAGUGCUUGGAUUGAUGGUGUCAGUGCUCCACCCACAAAGAGGUGGAGCCAGGAUGUGAUGUAAUGGCAGGAAGAAGGUGUGUCUUGCCCUUUGCUGGUUCCUGUUUGCUAUUUGCAACCUCCAUGAAUUGCGGCCCAGCCUUGCCCGCCUGCCUUGGAGCCAUCUGAGUGUGGACUGAAAACUCCAAAAACUUGUGAGAUGCUACUCUAUAAAGUAUAAAGACCAAACAUUGGAACCCGUGGUCGCAGGAUUAUGAAAUUCAUCAAUUUGGUUUCAUACCUUUGCAAGAUACAGAAAAUCCAAUCACACACAGAAUCAGUGAACAAGGCAUCUCUUCAUUCUGGCUUUUGGGAAGCUGUCCAGUCUCCAGGAAGGGAUUCGAUGGAGCAAUGGUGGUCACGGUGUCACUCUGCUCUCCAAUACCAUCUGUGACACGUGGGCUUCUUGGGGGUGGAGCAGUGACGUGGUGACAGGUUCAGGAGGUGGGCUGCAUCAAAUUUGGCCAACUCUGUCCUGACAUUUUGGACUCUGACACUUUGUAUUAGAGUCUAUGCUUCAAUUUACUCAAGUGCAAAAUGAGGAAGAAACACGACUAUUAUGGUUUAUGUCUGUGGCCCCCAGGCCUCAUGUGAUUGCAUUGUGCGUUUGUGAUUGGUUCAUUCUCUAGUGCUUGGAUUGAUGAUGUCAGUGCUACACCCACAUAGGGGUGGAGCCAGGAUGUGAUGUAAUGGCAGGAAGAAGGUGUGUCUUGCUCUUUAGCUGGUUUUCACCUUGCUGUUUCCAGCCGCCAUGAACUGUGGUCCCGUCAUGGCAGCCUGCCUUGGAGCCAACUGAGUAUGGACUGAAACCUCCAAAAACUAUAAGAAAUAAACCUUUCCUUUCUCAA